rnacentral:lncRNA from 1 species
GGGGAUUUCUAUGGGGUGGGGGACUCACAAAGGGGAGGGUGAGCCCUGGGGGGCUUUGUCCCCCAGUAAAGGGGCGGUGGGGUCCCUGCCAGGUUGGGGUGGGGGGUUCACAAGGGUUUGGGGGGUCCCCAGGGGUGGGGGGUCCUGGUGUCACCAAGGUCUCUGUCCCCAGCGCCCAGCAAUGUGCCACCCAUGGGGACGCUGUGGCUGUGGGGUGCCGUCCCCCUCCUCCUCCUCCUCCUCCUCACCUGCCUGGCUGCGCUGGGGCGCAGACGGGCGUGGGCGCAGAUGGGUCGGAUGCCUCAGGGACACCGGGGGCUCAGGGCCCCCCCAAAGCCCCCCAGCCCAGACCUUCCUGCUCUACGUUUCCUGCAGGUGCUGCAGGCCGGGCGCUUCUCGGCGGUGUGGCGGGGCACCCUGCAGCAGCGCCCGGUCGCCAUCAAAGCCUUCGCCGCGGGGGGGGCCCGGCGCUUCGCAGCCGAGCGGGCGGUGCACGCGCUGCCGCUGAUGGAGCACGAGAACGUGGCGAAGCUGCUGGGCACCAGGGGGGCCGGGCCCUGCGCACGGGGGGGGCUCCUGGUGCUGCAGCUGUACCCGGCCGUGAGUGCACCGGGGGGAGGGGGGCUUCAGCAGGG